rnacentral:tRNA from 1 species
GCCUUAUUAGUUUAUUUGGCUAAAACGCUAGUCCUCCAAACUAGAGUAACCGGUUCGAGUCCGGUAUGAGGCU